UAAAAAUAUUUAUGCCCAUCUACACCUCCCGAUCCUCUUUUACGUGCAACAACGUCCUCUGCCCCUAAUAUUUAUCCACAAAGCUAGGGUUCAGGUUGCCUCCACUGUUGCUCCUUGAUCGCUUCCGUCUCUUGGUGAUGCAGGUCCAAACUGCCAAUUAUUUUCCGGCAAACUUAGAUGGAGCAACUCUUUGCUGCAGGUGCUUUUGGCCGAGGGUAACAAACACAUACAAUAGAUGUGCAUGAGGCAGCACAUUCAACCGAUCACCGGUGGUUGAUUUAAUCUGGUAGGUAGAUGUGCAUGAGGCAGCAGAUUCAAUUGAUCACCGGUGGCACAGGACGGCCUCGACAAGCCAAAGAUAUCCAAAAGUAAGGGAGUGAUAAUUAUUGGUGACGCCUUAUGGGUACACAAUGUGAAUAUGCACGAGGGUGGUUACGCAAUAGAAGUAGAAAAAAAUGGAGCUCAGAGGUGAGUUCAGCUGUAUGGUAUCCCAGAAUUAUCACUGUUGUAAUUUUUGGAAAACAAAACACCGAAGUAACUACUUGAGUUGUAGUAAUGUGCAUGAUCAAAAUCCUAUGGGAGAUCAGUUCUGAACUAAAAAUAUAACAUCUUAAUUGUGACAAUACAGUGUGAACAUGUGCGAGGUGGUGCAUUAGGUAUAGAAAAGGUGAAGCUCCAACGUUAGUGCAAGUAUAUAGUUUUCCAGAGUUUUUUUCUUGACAAUUUUUUUUAUGGUUGUAACAUAUAAUAGUAUUGUUAUUUUGGAAAACAGAUAAUCAAAAUUACUAUUAUGGUUGUACUGAUGCAUCUGAUCAAAUUAAAUCCCAUGGUAGAUUAAUUGUUGACUAAAAAGGUAGUAUCUUUACUUCAUGCAUCUCCCUUUACUGAUUUCUCCGUCUUUACAUGAUGGAGAGUCAGAUGGCGCGGCCUGCAGGAGCUAAGCUCAAUUUGUUUGUACAUGAAGACAAGCUCAAUUUGUUUGUACAUGAAGACACACAUCUGGUUCCCAGAGUCAAGCCAUACUUUCAGUCCUUGACUGAUUGAUGCACCUUGGGAGACAAACAGUAACAGCUAACAACAACAACACCAUUUUGUUCAGCAAUGAGAUCAUCCAGGCACUCCCUCCUCAAUAGGCAAGCUAAGUAGUACUUUCCCAAUCAGAUACGGGAAGGUGCCAAAUUACACACACUAGUUAAACUCUAAUGCUAAUCUAAUGAAGAUGAUAACCAACAAUGUACAGUUUUAUUUCUGUAGCAGUUUAUGGAGAAAAGUGGGUCUCACAUAUCACACUACAAGCAUUCAUUCAUUGCUAUGAACAAUUUUUAUGUAUAGAAUCUUAUUGGACGUAUCAUUAUCCAUCAUAUCAUUUCUUAGUUUCAUUCCACGAUACUAAUUGAAGUGGAUGAUCUGGUGACAAAAGUUAAUAAAGGUGAAAUCGUUAGACGUGGAACAUAUCUAACAUUCCAAGUAUCAUAUCAUAUUUUAGACAAAUAUACUGUAGCUGGCCACGGCU